ensembl:lncRNA
AGCUAGGAUUCAAACCUGGUGUAUUUCUUCCCAUCCUUAUCUUUUUUCCUUGUCUUUGGAAGUUUCUGGAAUUAUCUUAUUCUUACUUAUAUCAUUAUGUGAGGUUUUUUUUUUUUACAUUUGUUUUAUGAACUUCAUAUUUAUUCCUGCAACAAAACCUCUAUUUUCUUAAACUGGUUGCAAGAUAAAUAGAGAUUGAGUCAGCAGCUUGCUAGUCAAGCCUCUGCUUGUUCCCCAGAAGAAACCACAUGAACUCAGGUAUUGAUAUCAAAACAGGAAGCAACAAAAUGCACCAAGGCAUUCAGAGGAUGGGAGAGACGAACUGUUCCCUAGGAGGGAAGAAAUUAAUGAAACACGUGAAUACUUAUACAUCCCUGAAGACAGGAUUCCUGUGAUAUACUGAAAUGAAGAGAAAUUAACUAGUUUAUGGGGGUCUGGUUCUAGUCUCUACUUGUGCUGUGGUGACGUGUUUUCUGUUGCUUUGGAUACAUGCGGUGAUAGCAACCUGUUAGUCUUUGGAAAAACCCAGUGCAAAGGUAUGUGAAGCCUGGACAUGUGAGGUUGAAUAAGCACAUCUUAAAGCCACGAAAUGUAUUAACAUGGUUGGGCAGUUAUGGCAACGGAAAAACAGUGUCGAUGAACAAGAAUGCUUAAAGGGUGACGGCUUAAUAUAAGGAGAAAGCAGGCACUGUGUAGACUAAGAGGAUAUGACAUACCUUUCCAUUAUUCAUUGAGUUUUACAAACUCUAAUUCUGCCCUAUUUACAACUGCCCUGUUCUCAUGAAGUUUAGCUUCAGCAAAUGUUUAUUCGGUAACUAUAAAAUUAUGAAUAACUCAGUGGCUAGGCACUGAGGGGCAUAAAAUAUAGAAACGACAGGACCCCUGGCCUCGAGAUUGUAUAGAAAAGCACAGACUAUGUUUGCGAACCACUGAGUCCAGUGUGUCGAAUACUACAUUGGUGGGAAAAAUGGAAGAAAGAUAAGGUAAAGAUAAAAAAUGGAAGAUGCGUGUAGGGCUCAAAUCAGUAGGUUUCUUGAAUGACAAAUCUAUGUUAGGACUUUAUUCUUUGGAAAGGAGGGAUUCACUGAUUUUUUUUUUUUCCCCCUUUUAAUGUGAAAAGAAAUUGAUCAAAGCUGUUUCUGGCUUUUUUUUUUUUUUCACAUAUUUUUUUUGUCCUAUUCAUACUAUCUUUUUUUAGAUGGUAAAUUUUCAGUGAACAAAAACAAUAUCUAUUUUACUUGCUUGUUUAAUGUUCAAAGCAAUGUGGUAGGCUAUGCUUAAUAUUUAGUUGAUGUAAACACCAGCUGUUAUUAAAAAUUCAUGAGUUCUUAGUAUGGAAGGAAUAAAGGACCCCCAUUGUUCCUAACA